GGUUACGAGCGUCAGCGACAAGCCCUGGCUUGCUGGCCGGCAACCCUCCACUGUGCGGCGGGGUGCUCCAGGUGAGAACCCGACCGUGCGCUCCCUGCGCCUCGGUAAGCGCAAACC
rnacentral:ncRNA from 2 species